rnacentral:misc_RNA from 1 species
UUUCCGUAGGUGAACCUGCGGAAGGAUCAUUAUUGAAUGAAACACUUCUGGCUAUAUGCUGUUGUGCUGGCCCUUUGGGCAAUGUGCACACGGCUCUGGUCACUUGUUUCUUCUGUUCCACCUGUGCACUGCCUGUAGACACGCUGUGUCUAUGAUAUUUGUUAACACACAACAAUGUUAGUUGGCAUGUUAUAUAUAAUAAUAAAAUAUACAACUUUCAACAACGGAUCUCUUGGCUCUC